AGACCCGAAACCCGGUGAUCUAGCCAUGGGCAGGUUGAAGGUUGGGUAACACUAACUGGAGGACCGAACCGACUAAUGUUGAAAAAUUAGCGGAUGACCUGUGGCUGGGGGUGAAAGGCCAAUCAAACCGGGAGAUAGCUGGUUCUCCCCGAAAGCUAUUUAGGUAGCGCCUCGUGAAUUCAUCUCCGGGGGUAGAGCACUGUUUCGGCUAGGGGGCCAUCCCGGCUUACCAACCCGAUGCAAACUGCGAAUACCGGAGAAUGUUAUCACGGGAGACACACGGCGGGUGCUAACGUCCGUCGUGAAGAGGGAAACAACCCAGACCGCCAGCUAAGGUCCCAAAGUCAUGGUUAAGUGGGAAACGAUGUGGGAAGGCCCAGACAGCCAGGAUGUUGGCUUAGAAGCAGCCAUCAUUUAAAGAAAGCGUAAUAGCUCACUGGUCGAGUCGGCCUGCGCGGAAGAUGUAACGGGGCUAAACCAUGCACCGAAGCUGCGGCAGCGACACUGUGUGUUGUUGGGUAGGGGAGCGUUCUGUAAGCCUGUGAAGGUGGCCUGUGAGGGUUGCUGG
rnacentral:rRNA from 1 species